GGCUGGAGUCACCUCCUCUCCGGCAAGGACACACAGUGGCCUCCCCUCUUGGUGCAUCCCAGGCCACGCCCCAGCUACAUCACAAGACAGGAAUUGCGCCUGGGGCAAGUGCAUUUUCUUCAAGUCUUCUCGGAUCUUCUGAUUGCUACUGCAGAGCGAGUGAGGUUGGGAUGACACCCAACCAACUGAGCCACACCGGCCAGGGCUGGAUGAAUUUAAAAUAAGGUUUGUGGAUUAGAUAACAUUAUACCAGUAUUAAUGUCCCUAUUUUGAUGAUUGCAUAAUGUUUAUGUAACAAUGUUUUUAGUAUUGGGGGUAAAAGGGUAUCAUAUCUGUAACUUACUGUAAAAUGAUUAUGAUAUAUAUCCAUAUUCUGUUCGAUUCUACUUCUAUCUGAUUCUGAUGUGCAGCCAGGGUUAAACCUAGUUUUAUCAACCAGUAAUAAUCCUGGCCUCGUCUAACAAUUCUCUUUUAAAGAGGGCUUUUAUAACAAUCAAAUUCCCUUAACACUUUCAGCCCUGGCCGGGUAGCUCAGUUGGUUAGAGCAUUGUCCCAUUACACCAAGGUUGUGGGUUCCACUGCACAUACAAGAAUCAACUAAUGAAUGCUGUAGGGGAGCUAGAGAUGUAAUAUGUCUCCAGCAGUAAAGGCGUGGGGGAAAUGUUUAACUUUCUGUGACUGUAACUCUCUGUAGCCACAGGUUUGACCGACUAUCCAGAAAGCCAGAAUACCGCCCGAAGGUAAACAUCACGCCCCAAGAAGGUUAAUGAAUGUAUAGGGUGUGGAUAACUGCCUGGUGUUAUCUGUUAAUUUAGACUUGCAUUGUACUUUCUGGUGGCCUGCCACAUGCUUUUAAUAUGAACCCUCUAUAAAACAGAGACCCUGUCCUGGGAUGGUGUGGAUAUAUUACUGAUGGCCACUGCUGGAAGCAAGCAGCUGCUUUGCCUGUUUAUGUGUUUCUCCUAUUAAGCUCUAAUGAAUUUGAAUAAGGUUAUAUGUCAGUUCCUCGGAAUCCAUCCUGAAUUUAGACUUUUGGGGCUUUCCCUCAACAAAAGCAUAAAUAAAUGGAACAAAAAAGUGA